AUUGGAGAUUCUAUCUUAACACUUAUAGCAGUACAACUGACGUUUCACGGUCUUGUAAACAAACGAAUCCACAACUAACUUCUCGAUUGUUUAUCAAUAUUGUGAUGUUGCAUUGUUCCUCUGCGCUUCAACAUUGUGUACAGCAGCUAUAGUAUUGACAAACAGACGUGCAUCGAUUUCAGCUUGCCCCAAUCAUGUAACACGCACUACAGAAAGGGAUGUAAACGUUGGUCAAGUGGUUGGUCGGUAUGAACCGUGGCAAAGGUGGAGUGCAGGCUCGUGGUCCAGCCACAACACACACUGUCCAACCGUCCAAACCAGCUAACCCCGAGUUUCCCUUCCGUUAUUUGCACUGACAAUAGAGCCUUAAUAUAUGCGCAUACUUUCACGGCAUUGUCGGGUGGUGUGUGGUAGGAUACAGUUUCAGCUGCGAUGUCAAGUGAUGUACUCCGGGCACGAAACAAAAAAGCAAACAAACCGAACCUCAGCCGAGAAGGGGGAAAAAAAACGCAAGAGCCACGGUAAACAAACCAAUCAUGGACGCUCAAUAAAAUCAGAACAACCUGGCUGAGCGGUCGCCGGUGCAACGUGUGAAACGGGCGCCACCCUGUGACGAAAUCUGACACUUGCCGCUCAGCCGUCGUCGUAUUCUGUCCGUUUCGGCGACAGGGCUCCUUUCAUCGGAUUUCGUCCAUAUUCCUUACUUGUCGCCUUACCGCACAGCGGCCCCUGCUACACAGCGAAAACGGGGUUGAUGAAACCGAAGAAGAAACAACAAAAAUCGUGUGUGCCGAGAGGGUUCCGAA